AUGACGAAUGGGCUCGUCUCGUGCUCUGGUUGGCUGGGUCAGUCGUGGCCGCGUGCAGACGGUUUUGACCAAUCCGCUCCACGCUUCCGCAGCCAAUCCGCCUCGUCCCACUCCCGCACCAGCCGUCACACAAACCCUAGCCAUGUUUUCCCUCGAUCCCCACAGCCUCCCGCUCCCCUCCUCCACCCCCCUCCUCGCCUCACCACGGCCUCCGCCCUGGAGCCCCGUCGCCGCCUCUCCUCCACCCCCUCCUCGCGUCGCCACGGCCUCCGCCUGCUAUUCCUCCUCCACCACACUAGCCCCUCUACGUCGUCUUCCUUCUCUUCGUUGUCAAUGCGGCCGCAUCGACCGCUGGUUCCAGAUCGAGCGAGGGUUAGGCGAGCCCGGUGGUGGGGUGAAGGGGCAGGGGAAGAGGAGGUGGGCGAGUAG
rnacentral:rRNA from 1 species